UACGUAGGUCCCGAGCGUUGUCCGGAUUUAUUGGGCGUAAAGCGAGCGCAGGUGGUUUAUUAAGUCUGGUGUAAAAGGCAGUGGCUCAACCAUUGUAUGCAUUGGAAACUGGUAGACUUGAGUGCAGGAGAGGAGAGUGGAAUUCCAUGUGUAGCGGUGAAAUGCGUAGAUGUAUGGAGGAACACCGGUGGCGAAAGCGGCUCUCUGGCCUGUAACUGACACUGAGGCUCGAAAGCGUGGGGAGCAAACAGG
rnacentral:rRNA from 1 species